UACGUAGGGGGCAAGCGUUGUCCGGAUUUAUUGGGCGUAAAGAGCGUGUAGGCGGCUUUACAGGUCCGUUGUGAAAACUCGAGGCUCAACCUCGAGACGCCGAUGGAAACCAUGUGGCUAGAGUCCGGAAGAGGAGAGUGGAAUUCCUGGUGUAGCGGUGAAAUGCGCAGAUAUCAGGAAGAACACCGGUGGCGAAGGCGCCUAUCUGGCCCGAUACUGACGCUGAGGCGCGAAGGCGUGGGGAGCAAACAGG
rnacentral:rRNA from 1 species